UGUAAAUAAAUUUAGUGUUAAAAUUGUAAUUAUUGAACUUGAGAAAGUUUUUGGUUUUGGUGGUAAAAUCUAGGAAGACAAUUAUAUUACAUAAAGAGAACUGAGAGAAAAAACUAAACAAUUCUAUUUCCGAGUGCUACAGAUUUGGCAUCUAUUUCUAGUGCCUGAAUUAACGUGUGUGCAAAGUAUACAGACCCAUUUAGGCGGGUUUUCUGGUUUCAUGCGAGCUUUUCCUUUGUUUUCACCUUUACUAAUAAGUUCAGGAAACUCAAAAAUUCCUUUAGGCUUUGAUUCAUUUUCAUUAGCCGGUUUGGCCGUAGAUUCUUUUGAUUUUAAAGCUUGAGCAUAGUUUGCUGUCUUUCCGAUUGAAUUCGGUUUAUUGGUUGUGGGCUGGUAGGAAGAGGAUGUUGCAGAGGAAGAGGAUACAGUAGUAGAGGAAAACGAGGUACCAGAUUGAAUUGGUGAGGACGAGGCUAUCACAGUUUUUGGAGCAGAACUGUUUGAGCUCAAAUAAGUUUUAGAAGUCCAAUUUCCAGAAGUGUUAAUUUUAAGUGAAUUCAAAGAUGUCAGAGAAGGUGCCAAAGAUUUUGAAUGGGAUAUAACUCCAGAGUGAGCAUUCACAGUUUUUGGAGCAGACUCAGAUGAAUUUUCUUCCUUGUUUUUCUCGUAUAACUCUUCUUUCUGCUUCUCUAAAAGAAGGAAGUUCGGAUCAUUUAAAGUUUUAAUGCAAGCUUUACAGUAUAUAAGAAUGAUCUCAACAUCGUAGAGACAAAUCUUGUUGAAUGCUUUAGUACAGAUAUUAAGCCAUUGCCUGUGCGCCAAAGACUCAGUAAUUGUACUUGGAGUUUGGGAAUCUUCUGGAAAUGUUGUAGUAUUCAUAGCUAGCCUAUAGAAUGGAGCUCUAAGUCCUAGAAUUCGUUCUAUAGUGUUUGCUGAAGAAACUAAGCUGCUAGUAUGUUGGUAUAGAGAAGAUAGAGCAUUGAUUUCAGUUGAGGUUUGUGAUCCAAUCAAGAUUUUAAAUUUAUCAAAGAUCUUUUCUUUAUCUGAUGCCUCUGGCAAAAAUUCUGAAAAUUGAGAAAGAGAGAUUUUUGAAAAACAAGCUGUGAGAAACGAGUUUAGGGAUUCCAAAAAGGUAACUUUUUGAGAAAUAAGCAUUUCAUCUGGUUUAAU
rnacentral:antisense_RNA from 1 species